UGUGGGAGCGAGCCUGCUCGCGAAUGCAUUCUUUCAGUGACAUUGCUGCGGCUGAUACACCGCCAUCGCGAGCAGGCUCGCUCCCACA
rnacentral:antisense_RNA from 1 species